GUAUGUUUUCUGUUUAUCAGCCAAUUUUUUUCUCAUGUUUUUUUUUGUUCACCUAGUUCCUAGUGUGUCUAAAUUGAAUCGGACCAGCAUGUAAGGUGUCAA
rnacentral:ribozyme from 1 species